rnacentral:rRNA from 1 species
AUAUUAAAAUUGUUGCAGUUAAAAAGCUCGUAGUUGAAUUUCUGCUGCAUUGCUUUUGCUCCUUUACGAGUUUUUGCAUUGUGGCUUAUUUCGGACUUUGUUUUACAAUGUCCGGAUGUUUACUUUGAGAAAAUUAGAGUGCUCAAAGCAGGCUUUUGCCUUGAAUAGUUUAGCAUGGAAUAAUAAAGUAGGACUUUGGUUCUAUUUUGUUGGUUUUAGGUACCAAAAGUAAUGGUUAAUAGGAACAGUUGGGGGCAUUCGUAUUUAACUGUCAGAGGUGAAAUUCUUAGAUUUGUUAAAGACGAACUACUGCGAAAGCAUUUGCCAAGGAUGUUUUCAUUAAUCAAGAACGAAAGUUAGGGGAUCGAAGACGAUCAGAUACCGUCGUAGUCCUAACUAUAAACUAUGCC